rnacentral:rRNA from 3 species
UUGACCUCGAAUCAGGUAGGACUACCCGCUGAACUUAAGCAUAUCA